rnacentral:rRNA from 1 species
UACGUAGGGUGCAAGCGUUAAUCGGAAUUACUGGGCGUAAAGAGCACGUAGGUGGUGGUUCAAGUUGGAUGUGAAAGCCCCGGGCUUAACCUGGGAAGGUCAUCCAAGACUGAGCGACUAGAGUAUAGUAGAGGGAAGUGGAAUUUCCGGUGUAGCGGUGAAAUGCGCAGAUAUCAGGAGGAACACCGGUGGCGAAGGCGGAUCUCUGGGCCGAUACUGACGCUGAGGAGCGAAAGCGUGGGGAGCGAACAGG